rnacentral:lncRNA from 1 species
AAUACAGAAAGGAAGAGCACACGCUGUAUCCUAAAUCAUUUGCUUCAUAAUUAGAUCGACGGGGAUGAAAUCUACUGAUAUGGGGAUGAAAGGGGAGAGAGUAAAUCCUGUUUUUUAAAUAUUAAUAUUAACAUGCUUAUCAUCACUCAAAUGGACACAUCAGCUCUUUACUAGACUGAGCAGAAGGAGGAAGAGGCAGGGUUGAUAGUGCUGUCUCCAGUGGCAGAGGUGAAAGAAAAUCUCAUCAUUUCCGUCUACAGUCUGCAGUAUAAUGUCAAACGAGAGAGGAUCAUUUUGAGGCAUCAUUUUCUCUUUUCUGAUAUUAAUGAGAAGGUUUCAGUAAUUCAGCAUUAAGCCAUGUGUUUGCUGUAAAUUCUUUGUAGAUACUUUUUAUCAUGUUAAGUUUGAUCUUUUAUAAUUCUAAUUGGCUAAGGGCUUAAAAUGAUUAUGUUAAACUUUAUCAAAUGCUUUCUCUGUCUCUUCAUGUGGUCAUAUGAUAUU